UUUAAAACAUAGUGAUAAUUACAAUCAACUCAUUGCUUAUAAAAAUACUCAAAGGACUUAGGACUAAGGACUUAGGACUUGGUGUGCUCUGAAGGUUGAUCUUCUGUAAAGCUGAACUCCGUGGCCAAAGCAAACGAAACAAGAGCAAAUUCAACCAAAUGGAAGCUGCCACCAUUUUAUCACAUUGACACGCCGCCCCCGUUGCCCCGCAGGAUGCUCCUGCUGGAGGAUACUAUAUGCUAUAUGCUGUAUGUUGUGGUUAUGCAAUAAAAUGUAACAUUUUGCUUUCGGUUUGCCAGAACCAGAGCACGGAA